AUACACUUACACAUCAUUUAAUUUGGGCUCACGUCAGUAUGAGUGAAUGAUAUAAAGAAACAAGGACGGUGGUGUACCGCAUGGGUUUCCGUAACAUUCUGUCCACAUCGCGUAGAGACGAUUGAUGUCUAACAGUAAUUCCUCAUUGACUCAGCUGUGCGGACUCAACAGAAGCAUUUGAGAUGUUCCUGAAUUUCAUUAGAGGAUCCAUUUUUAAAGAGUAUUUAGGAACCAAUAUGGCAGAAAGCCUUACUACUAGGAAGCAUUGAUGCCUCCCCAGCUGCGUCCCUUUACCGAGUUCGCUUCUGCGCAGCUUUCCGUCCGCUGUAAACGUCACCCUUCUUGCCUAUGUAAACGCUCAGACGUGAGUGUAAAUUCAGCCAAUGUGCAGUUGAUUUGGAAAGGAGCUUGUCACGAAGAAGGAAAAAACAUUUUGGAAAAUUGGAAUUAAUUCUCCAAAUCUGCUCUUCCGGGACGACAACAUUUUGCUUGUAAGUAAAAUCUUGUUAUAAUCCGUCCCUUAGCGUAGGUAUAAAUUCUUUUCGGAUCGAUUACUUUGCAUGGUAGAGCAGGCUGCUGAGUUAUGGUUGGUGGUUAUUUGAUGACAUCGGACCAAUCCCUUAUGGGCCGUUGAUUCUCCCUUUGAAAUAUUUUAUCGAUUAACCAGUUCUACACCCAUAUAUGUCAUACCAUUUCCACUAUGCAGUAAUUGACACCGUCUACCGUGGCGUUAG